rnacentral:rRNA from 1 species
UCGGGGUGCUACCUGCAAGUCGAACGAGAAAUCCGACACUCAGGCAACUGAGUGUUAGAGAGUAAAGUGGCGCACGGGUGAGUAACGCGUGGGUAACCUACCCUUGAAACCGGGAUAACCCCGCGAAAGCGGGACUAAUACCGGAUGUGGUUCCAUCAGCCUAGGCUCUUGGAAUUAAAGGUGACCUCUUCAUGAAAGUUGCCGUUCAGGGAUGGGCUCGCGUACCAUUAGCUUGUUGGUAGGGUAAUGGCCUACCAAGGCUACGAUGGUUAGCUGGUCUGAGAGGAUGAUCAGCCACACUGGAACUGGAACACGGUCCAGACUCCUACGGGAGGCAGCAGUGAGGAAUUUUGCGCAAUGGGGGAAACCCUGACGCAGCAACGCCGCGUGAGCGAAGAAGGCCCUUGGGUCGUAAAGCUCUGUCAAGUGGGAAAAAGGUCUUUCGAUUAAUACCCGGAAGAUUUGAUGGUACCACUGGAGGAAGCACCGGCUAACUCCGUGCCAGCAGCCGCGGUAAUACGGAGGGUGCAAGCGUUGUUCGGAAUUACUGGGCGUAAAGGGCGUGCAGGCGGUUUGGCAAGUCAGGCGUGAAAGCCCUGGGCUUAACCCAGGAAGUGCGUUUGAAACUGCCUUUCUUGAGUAUGGGAGAGGAGAGUGGAAUUCCCAGUGUAGAGGUGAAAUUCGUAGAUAUUGGGAGGAACACCCGUGGCGAAGGCGACUCUCUGGACCAAUACUGACGCUGAGACGCGAAAGCGUGGGGAGCAAACAGGAUUAGAUACCCUGGUAGUCCACGCUGUAAACGAUGAGACUAGGUGUAGCGGGUAUUGACCCCUGCUGUG